rnacentral:lncRNA from 1 species
GAAAAAUAUUCUGAGACUCCUCGUCAUGGGCCUCUCACGUAAUGUCUAAUGUGCUUUUGAGUGUUAAUAUGUGAGUGAGCAAAGGUUUUGGUUAAGAGACAGUAAAUCUAAAGACAGGAAACAGGAAACGACAACCUUCUCUAAUAUGCAGAUGUGUCCACUUGUGCUUUCGAGAUGUUUUGGACAUCAAUAUCCAUGAGCCCUACCCAGUGCUACCAAAGGUCAAGAAAUCUGGAAGAUGCAGCAAAAACCUUCUGGAGGACACCAGCUUGGGGAGCUCUAUUUUAAAGAGAGAAUGUCCAGACCAUUCAUACAGGUGCCAACUCAUUUUGGAGAGAAGAGUUCAAGGGUUGUGGGAAUAUGCAGUCAACUAGGGAUGCUGAGUGUCUGUCUACCAAGAUGAUUUCCUGCACAAGCCCCGGUGAAAUGUAUGUUCCUCCUUCUACAAAAAUUCCAUUUUCUGCUGUCAGAUGUUCCACACUCCACCCACAGUCCUAGGAUGCAGAGUCAAUGAGUAACGUUUGUACCAAGUACCAGUUUCUACCAUCAGUUAACAAGUGAUACAAGUAGGGCAUGAACACUUUUGGCUCAAUAUUGGUUCUUUUCCACUGCUGACAAGAAGACCAUCCAGCAACAAUAUUCUAGGAUUCCAUAUCUUUUUUUGUUAGUAGCACAGCUUCAGAAAGUACUGAAAGAUGGCUGAUAUGUAAUGAAAAGCUAUUGGAUGAAUUAUUUAAAAUAGGAGCACUGAGUCAAACUCAGUUGCAAUUCAUGACACAUGGAAGGUCUCAACAAAUUCAAAAAACAUAUUUGUGUUAAAGAAUAUCCACCAACAUGAGUAAAGUGGCUUAAAGAUAGGACUAUAUAAGUUAGGUUGAGAACAGCUGACGUGGCAUGGCUGGAAGACUACAAUUUGCACUUAUUUCUGACUACAGCUGUAGCAAGAUGUGACAGACGGCUUUGCCAUGAUUUUAUGGCAUUUAUCUUAAUUCCAUCCCUCUUUUGAUAUACAGUUCACCAUAAAAUAUAACAGGAGAAAAUAAAAUAUAUAAUAGAGUCA